ensembl:Y_RNA Y_RNA Y RNA
GGCUGGUCCAGUGGUAGUGGGUUAUCAAAACUUACUAACAUUAGUGUCACUAAAGUUGGUAUACAACCCCCACUGCUAAAUUUGACUGACUUUUC